AAACACCCUUACACCCUAAUUUUAGCAAAUUUUGGUUAGGCAAAGGGUUGUUUUGCUAGCUUGAAACCACCUUAAGGGUGCCAAGUGGUUUACAUUGCGCCACCACAGUACCCUCC
rnacentral:lncRNA from 1 species